rnacentral:lncRNA from 1 species
GGCUCAACUUGCUUCCAACAAUAUCACUAGUUUUUAUGAGUGUUAUGUGAAGCCGCAAUAGACAACAUCUCCUCAUCUGCCCUAGCAGGCAGGAUGGGGUUCUGCCUUCUGCGUGGAGCAUGAUGGGUGAGAGGAAGCAGAGGCUGGAGAGAUGGAGGACCCACAGUUUGAAAGGAGAUGAACCCCACAGGACGCUUCCACAGAGUGAUGCUGGCCAGCCCACCUUGGACCACAGGAAGCUCCCUAAGGAAAAGAGGAAAACAGCUGGAAUCUGCUUUUUGACAAUGGAGCAGAGGCGUCCUGAGGAUGCAGACAAUCUCUGGGAGCCGUUUCUCCUGCGAGCAAAGUACCAUAUCAGGAAUUCCAGACAUCUGACGUUAGCAGACGACUGUGUCACACAAUGCCUGCUCUCUGCCAGAACGUCAGAGGAGCAGGGGGUGACAGUGCACGGAUCCCUGUGAGGAGAGAGCCAGCGUUUGCAGUGUAAGUGCUGCGGGCAUUGGUCCCAACACACGUCCAGUUUUCUGGUAUGCUCUGGUAUUCUGGUUCUCUUUUGGAUCCCAGUAGCAUUUGGUUGUGUAGGUUUUGCAAUUAUAUUGUGAGUGACGUCUUUGGUUUUCUGUUUACUUCAUUGUUGUUUUUUGUUUUUGUUUUUGUUUUUGUUUUUGUUUUUGUUUUUGUUUUUUAAAGCACUGACUGGGAGCCUGGGAGAUAGCUCAGUCAGUACGGCCAUGAAGACAUGAAUAUAAUCCUUAGAACCCAGAAGAAAAUGCCAGGUGCAUGCUUAGAAUCCCACCGCCGGGGAGGAGGAAACUGAAGAUCCCUGGGAUAGCUGGCUGGUCAGCCUAGCUUCCUCAGUGAGCCCCAGGCUCAAUGCUUCCUGUGGCAAGCUCCCAGGGGCCCCACCUCAAGGGUGCCUCUUCCUCGUGACCACCUGUGACCUUCAAAAUGACAGCUGCCAAGGAUGCUGAAGAUGGUCAGCCUGGCUCAUCACCAACUCUGGAACUCAGCAGCUGCAUCAAUGUGGAUGGGAAAAAAAAAAGUCUCGGUUACAUUGAUCUUUGCCAGUGUCUCCUUCAGCAACAUACAUCGCCACAACCACAUCUCCAGUGGUCUCUGGGAACAACAUCACUAUUUUCAGAUCGGUGACAGUUGUGUCAGGUGGUUGAAAAUGUCAUUAAACCCAGUACUGCUUCAAAAUUACAGUCAUUAUUGAAACCUGCUCCUAGACCUUGUUAUUUAGUCUGUUAAUAAACAAGGAUUCCUAGAACCA